rnacentral:lncRNA from 1 species
GAGAGAGAGAGAGAGAGAGAGAAGGCGAGAGAGACCUCGGGUCCACCGAACUCAUGAACUCUGAUAGCUUUCACCAUUUCGGAGGACGCUGAAGCGGUGGCAACCGCUCUCACCGACGAUCUGCUUUGAGCCGACGGAGAGGUGGAGAGCGAUGGAAAGCGGAUGGCUCUGCUCCUGCCGACGUUGCUGAUCGUAUCGUGUCGCGGUCGCGGAAGAAGAAGGAGAGUGGAUUGAAGAAAAUGGCGUGGAAGCAGAUGAGAUGGAGGCGACACUGAAAGCGCAGGGAGAUGAUUCAGGAAGCGUCCUAUUCGCAAGCCGGGGAAGCCACUGGACAUGCCCAUUGACUGGUGACGCCUCCGUCCCGCUUAAGUCCAAACGCCUUGCAAACAAACCUUGGCAGGUUGUAUUUACGGGUGUCUACAUAAAAAAUUUUAAUCAAGGAAUAAUGAUUUGUCCAUGAAUUUUAUUUCAAUAUGAAAUUUGGUCCAAUAACUUUUUAUUUAUUCAAUAUUAUCCCUAAAAUUUUGGUGAAUACUCAAUUUGGUCCCUUAAUUUUUAUAUGGACUAAGUAUGUAUAAAAAAUUCAUGAAUUCUAUUGAAUAAAUUAAAAGUUCAAUGGCUAAAUUGUACAUGGAGCUAAAAUUCAACUACCAUUUGCGACAUUUUUCCAAAAAUCAAUAAAUGAGUCUAAUCAAAUUGGUAAGUUCCUUUUAUGUUACAUUUUUUUGGUUGAUAAGAAGGUCCGUUUAUUUCUUGUAAUAUUAAAGAUUUGAAAAAUAUUUAUCUUGAAACAAGCGUUUGUAACUCCUUUUCAUCCUUAAUUAAAAACAAUAUAAAGUUAUUUUUCAUUGAUUAAUUUGUCUAAGCAAUGCUAGUGUAUUUUUUUCUUUUUUUUUUGAAAAAGUGUCUCAAACCAUUGGUUUUAUGUGGAAUGCAUCAUUAAAAUGUUUGAAUUUGUCGACAAAUAGAAUUUGUAAUUGAGCUGAGCAAUGUAAGUAUUAUAAAAUAUUGCUCUAUACUAUCGGAUGAUAAAAUUUUAACAGAAUUGCUAUACUUUGGGAUUUGAGUUUAGCUAAAUUGGAAAUUUGUAACUUAUGGAUAAUAAAUUUUGAUUUAAGUUUGACCAUGCUCCUCCGAAUAUAAUGGUCAUGGAGAAAUAGAUGUGCUCUUUUGUUAGUUUUUAUAACACAGAGAAGCUACAUUGUUUUAAGUGCGUGCUACAUAUCUCGUUUGUAUCUCAAUUUGAUAGUAAUGAUUUGAAAUGAAACCUACCGAUGACAAGUUGAAGAAUUGGCUCGGUUCGAGCUAGGAUUAAUGUCUUUUUCCAAACCGAUCAAUUCGAUUUUUGCUGAACUUAUCGCCAAACUGAAUAAUGAACAAACGAACGUGGAUUGUAAAUGAAGAGAUGACCAUUGGUCGGGCUUGAGUCGGGUAGGGCCUAAUAUGUUAUCUGAGAAAAAUUGUACGGCCUAAUAUGUUAUCUAAGAAAAAUUGUACAACAUUUUGUGGCACGGUCAAGGUUAGCUUCACUACUAAACCCUUGAGCAAGCCUGUCCAAAUUGCUAUUGGACACGUUGGGCUCGACACAAGCAUAAAAAAGCCUACUGAGCAACUCAACUCGGGAUCAUGUCUAUAUGGAUGGUUAGUGAAAGUGGGGUAGAUUUGCACCAACAAAAGAAAAAUAAUUACUUAUGCUGGCAUGGAACACAUAAAACAUUUCUACUUAUGACUUUGCUUCAUAAUUUGAAGGUAAAAAAAGAAAUGCUCUCGACUGCGAAGGAUUUAUUGGGAAAUCAUAGAUGAUUUUAUACAUCAAUUUUAGUGUAUUGAAUAGAUUUCAAAUGUUUUAUGCUCAGAGUAUUGAACCUCAAAAUAUGUAUAAAAAAAAAACCGUAAAACAAAAACCACUAUAAACAGGAUCGAAUGAAUGGACAUUUAAAGUAAUACCAAUGGCUACAUAACUAUAUCUAAUUAACUAAGGCAUAUUUAAAUGGGUUAAGUUUUUCUUCGACUCUAUGGUGAACUAUACCGAUUUAUGGAUUACAACAUGUGGACACCACCCUCAUGUGAAAUUAAAGAAACAUAAAUUUGGGUGAUGCUUAUGGUUGUGACUUGCCAAUCAAAAGGGCAUGUAGAAAGUUUUCUCUAAUUGCUCUAAUCAAAUAGAAGAAAACCAAACUCCGCGUGACGGGUAGGAUAAAGUACCUAACCUAGCUUUAUAAAAGUAUAAACAACGCAUGUAACUUACAACUUUUAGGGGCCACACAAGACCUAGCUUUGUAACUUACGGCUUUUUUAUUCUUGACACAAGCAUAAAAAAAGCCUACUGAGAAGCUCAACUCAAGACCAUGUCUAUAUGGAUGGUUAGUGAAAGUAGGGUAGAUUUUCAACAACAAAAGAAAAAAAAUUACUUAUGCCGGCAUGGAAUGCAUAAAACAUUUAUACUUAUGACUUUGCUUUAGAAUUUGAAGGCAAAAAAAGAAAUGAUCUUGAUUGCGAAGGAUUUAUUGGGAAAUCAUAGAUGAUUUUAUUCAUCAAUUUUAGUGUAUUGGAUAGAUUUCAAAUGUUUCAUGCUCAGAGUAUUGAACCUCAAAAUAUAUAUAAAAAAAACCGUAAAACAAAAACCACUAUAAACAGGAUCCAAUGAAUGGACAUUUAAAGUAUUAUCAAUGGCUGCAUAACUAUAUCUAAUUAACUUAGGCAUAUUUAAAUGGGUUAAGUCUUCGACCCUACGGUGAACUAUACCGAUUUGUGGAUUACAACAUGUGGACACCACCCUCAUGUGAAAUUAAAGAAACAUAAAUUUGGAUAAUGUUUAUGGUUGUGACUUGCCAAUCAAAAGGGCGUGUAGAAAGUUUUCUCUAACUGCUCUAAUCAAAUAAAAGAAAACCAAACUCCGCGUGACGGGUAUGAUAAAGUACCUAACCUAGCUUUAUAAAAGUAUAAAUAGCGCAUGUAACUUGCGACGUUUAGGGGCCACACAAGACCUAGCUUUGUAACUUACGGCUUUUUUAUGCUCAACACAAGCAUAAAAAAGCCUACUGAGCAACUCAACUCAGGACCAUGUCUAUAUGGAUGGUUAGUGAAAGUAGGGUAGAUUUGCACCAACAAAAGAAAAACAAUUACUUAUGCUGGCUUGGAACACAUAAAACAUUUCCACUUAUGACUUUGCUUCAGAAUUUGAAGGUAAAAAAAAGAAAUGCUCUUGAUUGCGAAGGAUUUAUUGGGAAAUCAUAGAUGAUUUUAUACAUCAAUUUUAGUGUAUUGAAUAGAACAAAUGUUUCAUGCUCAGAGUAUUGAACCUCAAAAUAUGUACAAAAAAAAAACCGUAAAAAAAAAAAAACCACUAUAAACAUGAUCGAAUGAAAAGACAUUAAAAGUAAUAUCAAUGGCUACAUAACUAUAUCUAAUUUUUUUUAUCCAAACAUAACUAUAUCUAAUUAACUUAUGCAUAUUUAAAUGGGUUAAGUUUUUCUUCGACCCUAUGUUGAAUUAUACCAAUUUAUGGAUUACAACAUGUGGACACCACCCUCAUGUGAAAUUAAAGAAACAUAAAUUUGGAUAAUGUUUAUGGUUGUGACUUGCCAAUCAAAAGGGCAUGUAGAAAGUUUUCUCUAAUUGCUCUAAUCAAUUAAAAGAAAACCAAACUCCAUGUGACGUGUAGGAUAAAGUACCUAACCUAGCUUUAUAAAAGUAUAAACAUCACAUGUAACUUAUGACUUUUAGGGGCCAUGCAAGACCUAGCUUUGUAACUUACGGCUUUUUUAUGCUCGACACAAGCAUAAAAAAGCCUACUAAGCAGCUCAACUUAGGACCAUGUCUAUAUGGAUGGUUAGUGAAAGUAGGGUAGUUUUUCUUCGACCCUCAUGUGAAAUUAAAGAAACAUAAAUUUGGAUAAUGUUUAUGGUUGUGACUUGCCAAUCAAAAGGGUGUGUAGAAAGUUUUCUCUAAUUGCUCUAAUCAAAUAGAAGAAAACCAAACUCCGCGUGAAGGGUAUGAUAAAGUACCUAACCUAGCUUUAUAAAAGUAUAAACAGCACAUGUAACUUACGACUUUUAGGGGCCACGCAAGACCUAGCUUUGUCAGCAUAAAAAGCCUACUGAGUAGCUCAACUCAGGACCAUGUCUAUAUGGAUGGUUAGUGAAAGUAGGGUAGAUUUUCACCAACAAAAGAAAAACAUUUACUUAUGCUGGCAUGGAACACAUAAAACAUUUCCACUUAUGACUUUGCUUCAGAAUUUGAAGGUAAAGAAAGAAAUGCUCUCGGUUGCAAAGGAUUUAUUGGGAAAUCAUAGAUGAUUUUAUUCAUCAAUUUUAGUGAAUUGAAUAGAUUUCAAAUGUUUCAUUCUCAGAGUAUUGAACCUCAAAAUAUGUAUAAAAAAAAUCGUAAAACAAAAACCACUAUAAACAUGAUUGAAUGAACGGACAUUUAAAGUAAUACCAAUGGCUACAUAACUAUAUCUAAUUAACUUAGGCAUAUUUAAAUGGGUUAAUUUUUUCUUCGACCCUAUGGUGAACUAUACCGAUUUAGGGAUUACAACAUGUGGACCACCCUCAUGUGAAAUUAAAGAAACAUAAAUUUGGAUGAUGUUUAUGGUUGUGACUUGCCAAUCAAAAGGGCGUGUAGAAAGUUUUCAUUAAUUGCUCUAAUCAAAUAGAAGAAAACGAAACUCUGCGUGAUGGGUAGGAUAAAGUACCUAACCUAACUUUAUUAAAGUAUAAACAACGCACGUAACUUACAACUUUUAGGGGCCACGUAACACCUUUGGACCAGUAGGGGAAAUCAAAAAGAUAUGGUCUUGCUUCCCAUCGAUUUUCACAAUUUCCAUAUUGCUCAAGCAUCAUAACCCUCGUUAAAAUAAUUAAAUAUUAAAUCACGCUUUCUUCUAAUAGUUUAAACUUUUAAAACAGUUAGUAAUAAUCCCACGAAAUCUCAUAUAGUAUCAAAGCUUGAGAUCCUGAGUUCAUAUAUUUUCAUAUCCCAUUUACCUCCUCAAUUAAAUAUGUCAUCUCACAGCCCUUCUAUAACGAGGAGAGACCUUUCUUUCUUUGGCCAAGACAUAUAAUGAAAGAUCCCUUCAAUGUCUGAGGGCUACUUGGAUGCAUUUGCUAGCACGAUUAAGCAGCAUCCUUCGGAAAUUUCCUACUGGCUUCUUUCGAUUCAGUCAAUAUUUGCUUGAUAUUUUAUACAAUCAUUGCCUUUUGUCCUCUGAGAAAGGUGUUCACAUGGAAACAAAGUCACCACUUCCAUAUUCAAUCUUGACCCCAUUCAUGUCGCAAUCUCCACAUAUAUGCCACGUGAUGUUAGUUUGAAUAUUCUACGGAGUGGCCUGGUCCCUAUGUCGCUCAUCACUACAAGUCAAGACAGGCUCUCUCUCUCUCUCUCUCUCUCUGUGCGCUUGUGAGGAAGUUUGAACAAGGCCAUGGCAGUGGGAUUUGCAGUAACGAGUGCUGCGGAAGGGAACUACAACGGCAAUAUAACUUGGUUUGUCAUACUGUCAUGUCUGAUGGCAGCCAUGGGAGGUGUCAUAUUCGGCUAUGACAUUGGAAUUUCAGGUCUGUCUCAUUAUUUCUUGCCAUCUUUUGGAUGCUCCUCGUGAAGGAAAAGUGCCUUUCUUAUCUCUGCUAGCUCUCAACGAAUGUCAUAGGUGGUUCUAUGACCUCCAAGUUGUCUUGUGCUGAUUGAUUAGAUGAAGUUCCUAACGUAAUUAAGCACACACCUAUUCUUUGUUAGUUUGCUAAAAGAAUGCGUUUCCAAGAAUUGAAGUUGCAAGGUUGGUGACCACUGUGAUCGCUGAUCUAUACAAAGACGUUGUUCUGAUAAGUGUGUAAAUAAUUCCUUAGGUGGAGUGAUCCCAAUGGAUUCGUUUUUGAAGAGGUUCUUCCAUGAAGUCUAUAUUAAGAUGAAUGAAGACACCAAGAUCAGCAACUACUGCAAGUUCGAUAGCCAAUUAUUGACCUCCUUCACUUCCUCCCUCUAUAUCGCUGGUCUCUUUGCUUCCUUUUUUGCAUCUUUCGUCACUAGAGUUUUCGGAUGCAAACCAUCGAUGUUGAUAGGAGGAGCUGCAUUCCUCACCGGUUCAGCCCUUGGAGGUGCAGCUUCCAAUGUUUUCAUGCUUAUAUUAGGCUGUGCUCUGCUUGGCGUUGGGGUCGGUUUUGCGAAUCAGGUAGUCAUCAUAUGACAUGAACUGUUUUUGAUGGGUUGGAACAUUGCUUAACAAUUUCUAUGCAUGUUUGAUUGGAUUGGCAGUCAGUUCCUCUUUAUCUCUCGGAAAUGGCACUGCAAGGUACAGAGGAGCUUUCAACAAUGGCUUCCAAUUUUCAUUAGGAAUUGGUGCACUGUCAGCUAACCUCAUCAACUAUGGAACUCAGAAGAUCAAAAGGCGGUUGGGGUUGGUGAAUUUCCCUCGCCAUGGGUGCAGUCCCAGCCUCACCCCUAACACUCGGUGCGCUUUUCCGUCCCAGAGACACCUAGCGGUCUAAUCCAAAGCCACAAGGGACAAGAAAAGGCCAAAUCCAUGCUGCAACUCGAGCGAGGAAUGCCCAGCGUUCAGGCAGAGCUGGAUGAUCUCAUCAAAGCAAACUUAAACACACAAACCAUUCGCCAACCGUUUCGAACAAUCACACGAGAAGUACAGGCCUCAAUUCAUCAUGGCAAUAGCCAUUCCAUUCUCCCAACAAGUCACGGGAAUCCAUGUCAUUGCAUUCUACGUGCCGGUCCUGUUCCGAACUAUCGGCCUGGGGGAAAGUGCAUCACUCAUGUCCACAGUUAUGACUGGGUUCAUUGGUUGCAGUUCGACCUUCAUAUCAAUGCUCAUAGUAGACAAGCUAGGCAGAAGAACAUAGUUCCUUGUCGGGGGCAUUCAGAUGCUUGUGUCGCUGCUUUAUAAUCGACGUUUCGGUACGCGAGAUGGGAAGAAAACAAACAACCGACCUUUCAUUCUACCCUUUCAACGCUCGUGUGGCGUGUGGAAAGCAGCAAAAAUGACAUCCCAUCAUGGUCAUGAUCAAGCUGAGCCAAUCUUAUCCCAGGAAUAAAUAAAGGCGGAAAAUAGCCGAUGAAGAUUGGGGACUCCCUUAGGAUAGCAAAAACCAAGAAAAUAAACCCUAAUGUCUGUCCAAAUGCCUAAAACAUUGAUUUAGAUAUUUUAUUGCCUAAAACAUGCUUUUCAGUAUCUUACGUGCAUAUUAAAAUGAUAAGCGCAUUUCCAAUUAGGAUUUAUUGCCUAAUCCGCAAUCACACGCUAAUUUUUUUUAUUCCAACUAUAAGGCUUUAGAUGGAAUAAUUAAUCACGCAUGAAUAAAAUUGAUAUUUUGAUCUUUAAGACUUAAGAUUAAUUUAUCGACUUUAUUAGCGAAAUAAUCAAGUUUGAUUUAGAUAUUCUGCUCUACAGCCCUGAUGAGCAGUCACACUGUCAACUCCUUGAGCAGUUCGCAGAAAUCGUGAAAAAACAUGGUAUUAUGCUCUCUCAAAGGAAGAUGAAUAUUGCCCAAACAGAAAUCAAAUUUCUUGGUAUGCACCUUAACAAAGGUACAUACUACCCAGGGCCGCAUAUUGCUCAAGAAUUAUUGAAGUUUCCUCAAAACAACUUCACAACAAAGCAAGUUCAGCAAUUUCUUGGGAUAAUUAAUUAUCUCAGGGUUUUUGUCCCAAACAUUGCAAAGCUUCUGAUUCCUUUGCAAUCUAUGCUGAAGAAGAAUUCCCCGCCUUGGGGAAAAGCUCAGACCAAAGCAGUCGCUGAACUUAAGGAGAUUAUGCAGAAUCUCCCACCAUUACAAAUACCAUCAACAGGCAAAAUGAUUCUCCAAACUGACGCCAGUGAUGAAUAUUGGGCAGCCGUUCUUUUUGAAGAAAUUGAUGGUAAGAGACUCCUCUGUGCUCAUAAAAGUGGAAAGUUUUCCCAAGCUGAAAUGCAUUACUAUUCCACUUUCAAAGAAAUCUUAGCAGUAAAAAAUGGAAUAAAAAAAUUUGAGUUUCAUCUCAUCGGCCACCACUUCUUGGUGGAAUUAGACAUGGCAUCUUUCCCUCAGAUGACCAAGUUUAAACAGAAGCAGAUUCCAAAUUCCCAACUGCUUCGAUGGGCUGAAUUGUUCUCAAAAUAUUCUUUUGAAACUAAGCAUAUUCCUGGAAAGAAGAAUGUACUUGCUGACUUCUUAUCAAGGCCAAAAGCACCAGCCGAGAUCAAUAUGUACAUCAAAAGGCCUGCUUUCCAUAUGCUCAAUCAUGGAGUGAAAUACAAAAUUGAGAACAGCAAAGAUUCGCAAAGCUGGAAAUAUCCUCAUGAGAUUAUUCAGCAAAUCUAGAACGACAGUCUUGCUGAGAACCUGGAGAACCUCAUGUGGCAAAGCCACACAGACUUAUUCAGAUUCAACGGAGGUUCGAUUCUUUAUCCUUUUGGGUUAAAUAUGAAUUAUCCAUUCAUUUAUCCUCUUAUUUGGAAGGAAGAUGAUUUCCCUGAACAGCUCAAAACGUUAUUGUGGUACUUAACCAAUAAGUACCUAAUAGCUUUUGAAAUUCCAACCAGAAGAUUCAUUGCCAACCUCACAAGGAUAUUCCUGCUCGGAAGAAACAUUGAAAAAGAAUGUGAUAGAAAUCUUUUAGAAUUUCUAAAUUGGUUCUAUCAUCCUACAUGUUGGAAACAAGACUUGGAAAAAGAACUGAGAUCCAUGACGCCAAAUCCUGAGGUCCAUACCAUCCUGUUUUUCAGACGUCCAUGGAAUUUUUGCAGAAAUAAUGGUAGUAUUUUCGAUGCACCACUAGAAAUAGGAACCACAUCCUAUAAACCUAACUUGAACAGCCGAGAAGCCUGGAUUUACAAAUCUUAUCCUAGAUCUGUUCGACUUUGUGAACAUGAAUAUCGAGAACUCCAGAGAAUCCUAUGCCAAGAGAUAAAGACCAUUCCCGAAGAUGUUUGGAAUAAUGUACCCACUACGUGGGAUCAUUAUGACCUAGCACCAGAAGCUAAGGAAGCACUCGGACAAUACAGACAAGCCUCAUCGUCCCAAGAGCCUGAAAUGACAAGCGAAGAUGACAUUGUCCAAUUCACCCAGGACCCCUAUGCACGCUUUGGAGGACCUCUGUCCCAGGAUCCCUACGAACAAUUCCAAAGCAUGGACACAUCCUUCUAUGCACAGCCAUCCAACUGGCCUCAGCCAAGAAUUCCUGACCCUCAAGAAGAUGAAAACACAAACUGGGCUGAAGAAGAAGCAUCACAUUGGGCUCAUGAACAAGCAUCCUCAUCAAGAAGGCUGAAUCAAAUCCUCUCACCUGAAGAUCUUGAAGCCCUUGAACAGAAAUACGAAGCACACCUCCUAGAAGACAGCUCGGAAGACUCAGUGUGUAGCUACAAUGCUCGUGACGGACGAGACCGUUGAGUCCGUACAAUUUCACUGUAGCAAAAUCACUGUUCACUUUUACUGUAGCACUAGGCUAGGGAAAGUACUGUUCACAGUACAGUUACUGUUCAUAGUGUGCGAAUAAUUCCCUCCCGAAAGUUUUCGGUGCCUCUGUUAGUAUCUGGACCCGUGAGCUAGGUCAUUGUGUGUGUCCUUGUGACCUCUUAUUGCCUAUAUAAGGCAAUGAGGGUGUAAUGUUUUGGGCAGACUCCCCUGAAGUAAAGAGUGUGCUUUGUGAAAAACUCUCCAUGGCUUUCUAAAUUCCUCUUCUUCUCCAGCCUGGUAGGAUCCUUCAAGAAAUGCAGCUUGGGUAGGUUAGAAACGUUUUCAUCCUGGCAUCUCUGGGUGUCUCUAGGCUCUGAACUAAAGGGCUGAGUGGUUUUCUGCUAAAAGGCUGUCUCUGAAUGGCUUGAACGGGAGUUGUUCGCCCACUGUGGGAUGCAUACCUGCAAGAAAUUUACUCUCCUUCCCUGGUUCUAAGUCUAGGUCCAUUCAUUUUGGUGCUUAUCUUUUAAUUGCUUUAUUUAUCUAAAAAAUACAAAAAAGAUUACAUUUGCAUAUCAUGUAGAUUACAAUUAAUUUCCUAGAUAGAAUUGCAUGAUAGAAUAGUUAUAUUAUUUUCUAAUUAUAUUAGAAUGCAUGUUUAGAUGAUAUCUAGGUUAUAUAAUAUCUUGGAAUUAAAUUGCAUAUCGAGAUAAAUUUUCUAAGUUAAGAUAUGAUUCAAAUUAGUCUAUUUCCUAACUAAAAUAGAUAAUAUCUCACUUUAGUUAGAUUUUUAUUUUUAGCAAAUUUUAAUUACGAAUUUUUAUAUAAAAAAAAUACUAUGUGUACGUCAUAUAGAAUUAGGUUCAUGAAAUGCAUGUCAUUUAGUAAUUGUCGCUAGGUCCAUUUAGUUAGAAAUUGCCCGUUAUUAAAAUUAGGUCACUUGGUCAGAUUGCAUUGCAUAUAGAUUAGAUUUUAUUAAACAAGAGAAAAUUCUUAAAAAAGAUUGAGUGACUAUUUGUUAAUUAAGAAAAACUCUAGGGCUUUUAAUGUGAAUUUUGAGAUAACAUUGCAGAUGCUUUUGUUGUUACGAGAUAAGUCUUGCAAUUUAUUCAUCGCUUUUCUUGGAUGUUAAAUUGGUGGUUUGCGUACCUACAUGAUCACCUCACAUGUUAGGGAACAUGUUAGAGAAAUAAAUUAAAAUCAAUUUAAGCUGCCUGCAAAACAUUUUUUUUUUUAAAUAAAAGAGAAAUGUACCAAAAUGGCGUUAGAGAAAUCUAGCGUAAUCAAGUCCCCAAACUCAUAAAUUUAUGGUUCGUAGGAGUAAAGUAAAUCUCCCGUUUCCAAUCGACCUACCGAAAAUAGAUUAGUAGCGACUCAUAAUUAAAAAAUCAAUUGCAUGUUAAGAACUCAAACUUAAGUCCCGAAUUGGUAUGGGUUGGGGAGAGUCCGAGCUAAAUUUAGACUUAGUAAUCUAUUAGUCAAACCUUGGUGGUUCACCUGACACUUUUCAAAAAUAAUUUUUUUUUUAUAUUUCUAUUCCCUAGAAUAAUUUCUCAUUAAAAGUCUGCGUUUGGUAAUUACACAAAAUUUUUAUUUUCGGAAUGAAAAAAGAAUAAAAAUGUGUUUAGUACGAUUUAUAAAUUUUUAACGUAGAAGUUCUUUUAAUAUUUUAAGAUUUUUUUUUCUUUUUUUCUUUCAUUCUUCUUCCAUGCUACCGACUACUGCUAGCAACCGGUAAAAAAGAAAAAAGUUACUUUUUUUUACUUCUUAUCUCUAUUCUAAAUAUGUUUCUCGGGGAAUAGAAAAAUUAAUUAAUGUUAUCAAACAGAUUUCUGUUUGUUUUAUAUUUCAAAGAACAAAAGAACAAAGAAACAAAAGAAUAGAAGCAUUAACAAGUAUAUCCGUAGUAUCAUUUCUUCUGCUUCUUAUCUUCUAGGGACAAGCUUAGUGAAAAAUGAGGAAAAUGGCUUGGUCACCAUAAUCACUGGGGUUUGCCCUUGCAGUCACUUUUGUAACAUGGAAUGGGGAGGUGGGGGGUUCAAAUCCUCACAUUUUCAAGGGAAGUUGGGGUGAGGGCAAUUUAGUUUCAAGUGUGGGUUUCAAUUCCCACACGUUGCAAGGAGACAUGUCAAAAGUCUGAGAGUGAAAAUUAGAGUAGGAGUAGAGUAGGACCGACAAAAAAAUAAAAUAAAAUACUUAGGCACCAUAAAGACCAAUGCGUGUGAGCUCCAAGAGGGGAACUUAGGAACUCAUAGAGAAAAUGUGUCCCAAUGCGAUAAGAACUCUUGUUUCAACUGCUUGCGGAUUUAUUGACACAAAAAAUAAUAUGGUUUUCAAUAAACACUUGCCUAGCACCUGGAUGAGAACAAACACGACAAAUAGCACAUGAACAUGAAAAAUCACAUGCAUGGUACAUGAGUGCACUCUACAUAUGCUAGCUUAUCGAUAAGUAUAUAGAUUAACAUAUGUCAAUCGACAUUGGUAUUCAUCAAUGCCACAAAUCUAGUUAUCGAAACACGAUGACAAAUAGUUAGUAGCUGCUGAAAUGAGUAUUGGCGAUGAAUUAUUAUUAAAGGAAUAUUGAAACUCAAUUUCAAAACUUCAAAUCAGCAAGACAAUUAAGGUUAAGGGUGAAUAUUUUUGGAGGGAACAAUUAUCACUUGGAAAUAGGAUCAUGGGGUAACCAUCAUUACAAGAAAGAAGAUCAUGGAGCAAUUCACAUUAGAUCUGUCAAUCGGAUGGGUCGGGUCGGAUUUAGAUCGGGUUAUAAAUGGUUCGAUCCAAAUCAACCCAUUUAACUCGUUUAUGAAUCUUUUUAUCUUGGUGCAAGAUUCUUAACCCAUACCCAUACUCGACUUGAUCAAUUCUCAAUUUAUACUUGACCCAUUUAACUAAAUGUAAUUUUUUUUUUAUUUUUGAUGAUUUUAUUUAAAAAAAAAUGGUAUUGCUAAAACACUUUCAUGCAACACAAAUCUAGUUGACAAUUUUUAUAAUUUUUUAAAAAAAUAAGCCUUUUUUUUGUUUUUUGAAAAACAUUUAAAAAAAUACUUUUUUUAAAAAGAAAAUUACAUAUUUUUUUUUUGUUUUUCCUUGAAAUUUCAAAAAUAAAUUAGAAAUAUUUUCGAUUGUUUGAUAUGAAAAAUUUGAUUAAAUUUUCCUCCAUGACUCCUUUUAAUAUUUUAAUAUUUUUAUUUUUUAAAUCGAAUUUAUAAUUAUUUUUAUUUUUAAAAAAUAAAAAAAUAAAUUUAUUUUCAGAUGUACUUGUAAAUGUAUUAGAACAAUAAAGUGAAUGAUGCUUAUGAUAAAAUAUCUUGAAUAAAUUUCUUUUUUUUUUUGGGACCAAAAAAGAAUGAUGACGGGAGCUGCUUCCCCAACAACUCCACCCCCCCCCCCCCNNNNNNNNNNNNNNNNNNNNNNNNNNNNNNNNNNNNNNNNNNNNNNNNNNNNNNNNNNNNNNNNNNNNNNNNNNNNNNNNNNNNNNNNNNNNNNNNNNNNUUAUGCUGAGCUAACAAGCCUUGCAAAUUAUUUGAUUGAAAUUUUACGGUUCUUUCAUCCACAGUAUGCAAUUUUUGCUCUAUAUUAUUCUUUUAUUCUAGCAAAACGAUUCGGUCAAUUUUAAUAAAUGGGUAAUUUCUCGAAUGUGUUCAUAAUUUCACGUGAGUAAUUUUCUUUUUUCAAAUAUUAAGUAAUUUCCCACACAUGGUUAGAGAUUUGACACUUUCACGUGAGUAAUUUUCUUUUUUCAAAUAUUAAGCAAUUUUCCAUGCAUGGUUAGAUUUGAAACUUUCGUUCAUGCGUAACAACGGAAAUACGUGUUUCCACCAUCAUUAGCUACAAAAAGGGAGGACCAACCCACCUGUAAGUAGCCGUGAUGGUUGCGCUUCACUACCUCAUCGUCGAGGGAACGAGUUGACACUUUCACGUGAGUAAUUUUCUUUUUUCAAAUAUUAAGCAAUUUUCCACGCAUGGUCAGAUUUGAAACUUUCGUUCAUGCGUAACAACGGAAAUACGUGUUUCCACCAUCAUUAGCUACAAAAAGGGAGGACCAACCCACCUGUAAGUAGCCGUGAUGGUUGGGCUUCGCUACCUCAUCGUCGAGGGAACGAGUUUGAAUCUCCAGAUGCUCGCCACUUAAGUGGGAUCCCAGGGAUGGUUUAUUAGACCAACCCUCCAAGGGUUUACGUUUAUAUAGUGGCUUGCAGCGAGGUCCCACCGGUGCUAUCGCGUGAUUUGCAAAGGAUGAUUUUCGGCGAUUCCUCGGUCAUCAACAAAAAAAAAAAGAAAAAGGGAGGACCAACUUCAAAAAUAUUCACAAAGUUCUUCCCUGGCAAGCAGAACACACAUCUUUUCUUAUAUUUAGGAAUGUUUAGAAGCCGCUACUCACACCUGUUCCAAGGAAGGAAGAAGACCUUGCUAAUCAUCUGAAGAGAAACAUCCCGGCAUAGAAAACUUAUUUAUGAGGGGCUCGACCCUCGGCACUCCAAGUAGCCUCGAUAGACAUUAACACAGAGGACUUAACUGCUUUGCCUUCCCUAUGGAAUCAACACGACCGACCCAGAUGUCUUCCGGCUUUCAAGAUCGGCAUGUGCCUUCGCUGCUUCGGACAGUGGGUAUGUGUGAUUCACGCGAACCUUUAAAACACCCGAGGCCACACUUGCAAAUACCUCUCCAGCAGCUUCCAGCAACUCGUCCCGAGUGAUGGUGUACUGCAUGAGGCUAGGCCUUGUCAAAAAGAGGGACUUUGGCGCAAGAGCCGACAAUGGGACUGGAUCAGGGGUUCCCGAGGACUGCCCAAAGUUCACCAUGUAGCCCCUAAUCUUCAAGCAUUCCAAGGAUCCCUGCACGAUCAAUAAGUCUCACAAGACUUUUUAGAACAUAUACGAAAAUAACACUUGGCUUUACAGUUUAAAACCUUAUUUGUACUCCAAAUAGAUCUUAAGCAUCAGAUCAAGCCACUUUGGCAAAAACCACAUGCAGCACGUUUACUAGUGAUUACCUGCUUAAAGACAGAUUCUUCCAACAAUUGCUAAUGGUUGAAGGAUUAGACUUCCGAAUGAUAACUAAAUUCCUAAAGCAUGCUGCAAUGCAAUGCUCAAAAGAGACAGAAUCCCACGCUCAAACACUAUAAGGGGACUCUUCUCAAGAUUUUGACCAAUCUCAGAGGAAAGCAUUUUAUUCUACCAUAAAUCACAAUAGAGUGCAGACCAACAGGAAGCGACAUCAAACUGAAUUACCUGAAACGUGUCUUUUCCUACUGAGUCAUAGACAACAUCAACCCCAUUGCCUGAUGUAAUCUCCUUAACACGAGAAACAAAAUCCUCUUCCUUGUAGAUAAUAACAUGAUGACAACCAUCAUCCUUAGCUUGAGCUGCCUUUUCUUUAGUUGAGACAGUACCAAUGACAGUUGCCCCAAGGGAAUUAGCCCAUUGGCACAAUAGGGAUCCAACUCCACCAGCUGCAGCUUGGACAAGGAUUGUGUGUCCAUUCUCAACCUUAAUACAAAGUAAAUAGUCAAGCCUUAAAUGGGGAGAGAGUAAGGCUGCUUUAUGCCAACACUUCAGAAAAAAAAAUGAUACAAAAUCAUCUUCUGUAUGUAUGUAGUUAACACCUUAAAAGCAAAGCAUCACCAAUUACUUCAUCCGUUGUCCCACAUAUUUAUGAUAAAUCUUAAUGUUCUUGCACAUACAAAUGCUGUAAGAGGAGUAUAAAGCCAACCUUAAAGCAGCGACGCAGGAGAAAUUGAGCUGUCAUGCCCUUCAGCAUGACUGAUGCUGCAAUAACUGGACCAAUGGAAGGAGGGACGGGCACAACUUUACUUGCUGGGAGAAUUUGCUCUUCAGCAUAUGAGCCCAUUGGACCGCCAGCAUAGGCUACAAUAUCUCCAACUUUCCUUCCAGUUAGUCCAGGUCCCACAGCUACUACCUCACCAACAGCCUCCAUGCCUGCGACAGAUGGAUAUCAUCCACUAAUGUAUAAUCCACUCAACAUGCUACCCCAUCAUCAGCAAGAUGAAUCCAUUAUCAACGCUUAAUAAAGUGUGAAUGAGUUUGUAUAGCUCCACAAAUAUUGAAAUACACCAUUACCAUUGCAGAGAUUGCACGAGAUGACAAAUGUUUCGGUGGAUCGAUUGUCUAUUCAAGCAUGAUCUCUGGAGUAGACUUGAUAUUUUUGAGUUAAUAUAGUCAGCUAAUAGACGGAAAGACUUGACUCCAGAACCUUAGUUAACAAUUACAGAAUACUGCUUAAUCAUAAAUGCUACAAUGACAUCUCAAACAGAUCACUCUAACUCAUUUCAUAUAUGUCAAAUACUUCCACACAUCAAGUUCAGAACUCAUGUAAACAUGGAACUGCAGAUAAACCCAGCUAUAUAAGAGAGAGUGAGCAGAAGUCAUGACUCGCGAGCUAUCACUUCUCCUUAAUGAGAAAACAUAAAAGAGCAAAAGGGAGACUGCGAUGUCGCCAUGGAUGAUUAAAUGCGAACAUGCAUUGACUUGAAAACGGAUCAAAGGAUACAGAUAUUCAUUUGAAACCAAAGGGCAUUCUCCAAGCCUUUUCAAGUUGUCAAAAGUGACUUGAACGAACAUUAUAAUCAAAUCCAAGCCACAAUAACUAAUAUCAUGCUUGACGCAUUGAGUCCAUCUAAUUCUGACAGGGGAAACAGGAAACAAACCUGGUGUGAAGGGCAUGGUGGGUGCCUUGUAUACCCCUUUACGGAAAUAAACAUCGAUGAAGUUGAUCCCGAUGGCUUUGUUCUUCACGCGAAUCUCUCCCUCCUUGGGUUCCCCUAUUUCCACAUCCUCCCACUUUAAGACCUACCACAAUUGCAAAACGCCCAUCAAAAGAUGCACCUUUAGCAACAAUCAGAUGAGGGCAUACGACUGCACAAUUUUACAAGGAAAUUCUCGGAUCUUGAUCUCGAGAAAAUACCCGAUCCAAUAAAUUCAUCGUUCUCAGUGCGAAUUCCAGUGCCUAUAAUAGAGCUAAGUACAUCACCAACUAACCCAUCAGCCGAACAAAGCCAAGAUUGUAACUUUGGACUGCUCCAAACUCAAGUUCACUAAAAUAUAAUAGAAAAAAAAGCCAAUUUUAAGACUCUGAGAGAACCUCACGAACUCAAACGACUGGAUGGCAAACAGAGAAUUUCAAUAGUCAACGCGAAUACCCAUUUUCUAUCCUACGAAGCACAGAGAGAGAGAGAGAGAGAGAGAGAGAGAGAGAGAGAGAGAGAGAGAGAGAGAAGGCGAGAGAGACCUCGGGUCCACCGAGCUCAUGAACUCUGAUAGCUUUCACCAUUUCGGGAGGACGCUGAAGCGGGUGGCAACCGCUCUCACCGACGAUCUGCCUUGAGCCGACGGAGAGGUGGAGAGCGAUGGAAAGCGGAUGGCUCUGCUCCUGCCGACGCUGUUGAUCGGAAGAAGAAGGAGAGUGGAUUGAAGAAAAUGGCGUGGAAGCAGUUGAGAUGGAGGUGACCCUGAAAGCAACGGGAGACGAUACUGGAGGCGUCCUACU